rnacentral:tRNA from 1 species
GUGGCUCAGUGGUAGAGCACUUGCCUGGCAUGUGUGAGGCCCUGGGUUUGAUUCUCAGC